rnacentral:rRNA from 1 species
GGUUGGGCACUCUAGAGGGACUGCCGGCGACAAGUCGGAGGAAGGUGGGGAUGACGUCAAAUCAUCAUGCCCCUUAUGACCUGGGCUACACACGUGCUACAAUGGCGGUACAAAGGGCUGCGAACCCGCGAGGGGGAGCGAAUCCCAAAAAGCCGCUCUCAGUUCGGAUUGCAGGCUGCAACUCGCCUGCAUGAAGCCGGAAUCGCUAGUAAUCGCGGAUCAGCAUGCCCGCGGUCCGAAUACGUUCCGGGCCUU